rnacentral:rRNA from 1 species
GCGUGACCCGGGUCCGCGGCCGUGUGAAGAGGUAUGGGGCGAGCGUUGUGCGGAUUUAUUGGGCGGUAAGCGUGCGCAGGCGGUUUUAUAAGACGGAUGUGAAAGCCCCGGGCUCAACCUGGGAACUGCAGUUGUGACUGGAUAGCUAGAGUACGGCAGAGGGGGAUGGAAUUCCGCGUGUAGCAGUGAAAUGCGUAGAUAUGCGGAGGAACACCGAUGGCGAAGGCAAUCCCCUGGGCCUGUACUGACGCUCAUGCACGAAAGCGUGGGGAGCAAACAGGAUUAGAUACCCUGGUAGUC